ensembl:lncRNA
GUGUGUGUGUGUGUGUGUGUGUGUGUGUGUGUGUGUGUGUCAAUUUACGCAACCCUGAGUUGCCCCACGAGGACUUGGCAGCAAAUGAAGUACAAAAAUAUAGUUUAAACAGCAAAUCGAAAAAAUGCAGAGGCCCGGCAGACUGGAGGGGGUCCACCACCUGGCUGCAGCCCUCACAGAGGCUGAGGAGAUGGCCCUCAGCCAACAGAGUAUGCGUCCUGUGGCUGAGGGCAUCCCUGGGGGGAGCUCCUCUGAUCCCCCCACCCCCCAGGAUAGAAGUGCCUUUACAGUAUAAGAGUUACUGAUGGCGUCAUCGCCCUACUUGAACCAGAUGCCCUCACCAACCUCCAUGCAAUUGUAACAAUUCAAAAGAUGCAAAAGGAUGCUUUGGAGAUCCACAUUUUGGAACAUAAGUUAUAGGGCUGUUCUUGCAAAUAACAUUGCCUUAGGUAAAGUGGUGAAAAUGUUGAAGCAAGCCAUGAUGAUCGCCCACCCAUUUCAUUUGUUUCCCAGAUUAUGAGAAACAAAGCAGGAAUACGGAGAAGUCCCCCAAAAGAAAGAAGCAAACUUUCAUGGGAUAGAAGAACGAUGAAAUACUACAGUUGCGGCUUUCUGGGAUUGAUCAAGUUAAUGUGUGAAAGAGGGGUCAUUCCUAGCAAAGAGAUGCUUGAGCUGAAGGAUUAUGUCUUAAACCGUGGCUACUUUGACAUUCAAUCCAUUGAAUACUUAGAGAUCCUUGAUGCCGUGAAAAUGAACCCCCCUGUUGUUGGCUAGAAUAGAUUGUUAGGUGGUGCCAUGAAAGUAUAAUGAUACUUGAUUAGUUUCUUAACAAACUGAAGAUUUGUGUGUGUCAAAGGUAGCCUUCUUUAAUCUAAAAAUAAAAAUAUUUUAAGCAUAAAGUCUAAAAGGGAGCUUGCAUGGCCUUUUCCUGUAUUGUUUCGUUGGGAAAUCUUUCAAGUUACAUUAUGUAUUCAAUCUGCG